rnacentral:rRNA from 1 species
ACGGGUGAGUAAUGUCUGGGAAACUGCCCGAUGGAGGGGGAUAACUACUGGAAACGGUAGCUAAUACCGCAUAACGUCGCAAGACCAAAGAGGGGGACCUUCGGGCCUCUUGCCAUCGGAUGUGCCCAGAUGGGAUUAGCUAGUAGGUGGGGUAACGGCUCACCUAGGCGACGAUCCCUAGCUGGUCUGAGAGGAUGACCAGCCACACUGGAACUGAGACACGGUCCAGACUCCUACGGGAGGCAGCAGUGGGGAAUAUUGCACAAUGGGCGCAAGCCUGAUGCAGCCAUGCCGCGUGUAUGAAGAAGGCCUUCGGGUUGUAAAGUACUUUCAGCGAGGAGGAAGGUGUUGUGGUUAAUAACCGCAGCAAUUGACGUUACUCGCAGAAGAAGCACCGGCUAACUCCGUGCCAGCAGCCGCGGUAAUACGGAGGGUGCAAGCGUUAAUCGGAAUUACUGGGCGUAAAGCGCACGCAGGCGGUCUGUCAAGUCGGAUGUGAAAUCCCCGGGCUCAACCUGGGAACUGCAUCCGAAACUGGCAGGCUAGAGUCUUGUAGAGGGGGGUAGAAUUCCAGGUGUAGCGGUGAAAUGCGUAGAGAUCU